rnacentral:lncRNA from 10 species
CGCCGCCGUCAUGGGUCAAAAACGCGACGCGCGGAGCGGCCUUUGCUCUCACCGGGGUCGAGCCGCGGCGAGGGAACGGAUCGGAGACGCUGCGCCUGCUCAGAAGGUAGCGCAGCGGGGAAAGGCGGGAGAGCGUUAACUUCUGAGCCUGCGCGGUGGGAGUUGCUCAAGCAGGUGGUAGCGACUUGGCUUCCGGGCAGCGGGUAAAGGUGAGUCUGGGGCAUGGGUUCAGUGGGCAAGUCUAGGGCAGCAGAGUUGACUACGCCUCGGCGUAUAGAAUGGCCCUGGCCUGGGACAGCUAAGGACGACAAGAGGAGGCCGAAGCCUAAAACGCUUUCACCUGCUUCUUCCCCUGCCUAGAUCCCCCCAAUAGUAAUACUAAAGAGCGCCAUAGUUUACAAAGAUUUCUCCCUCUCACAACACCUUUUAAUCACUGAUCCGUAUUCCCUUAGCACUCAAAUCUCUUCUGUUUGGAUUGCCCUCAUUAACAAUCUGACCAGCUCGUACAAUGCAUCCCUCUUUGCAAUUUGCCACGUAUGCUUACGUGUUCCCCUUUUUUCUACUGGCAAGGAAAGAAUGUAAGCUUUUAUUCACAGGAGAUGUCUGAGACUUUUGCCGGUAAAAUGAUCUGGCUACAAGGUCUAAGAGGGAAAAGCAGUUUGCUCGAGGAAAGGUAUUCGUGCAUUAAGGACAGUCCUGUGAGUGAGAUAUUGGUGGACGGCUUCAAGCUCUAGCCUGUGGCCUACAGCUGGCCUAAAUAAGACUGGGAAGGAACUGUGAAGACGGUUUCAAAUUCCUAAAGCCCUGAAAUUCUCCCCCUAAGUUUAGGAAGAGCUUUUGUUCUUGGUGUGUAACACUGAUAAAUGAAUUGGUACCUAGUGAUUAAUCUGCACUUUUAUUAAGAUAUGACCUACUUUACCUUUUUUGAGACAGGAUCUUGCUCUGUCGCCCAAUAGCCCAGGCUGGAGUGCAGUGGCAGAGUUGCAGCUGGCUGCAGCCUCCACCUCCCUGGCUCAAGUGAUCUUCCAGCCUCAGCCUCCCCAGUAGCUGAGACUAUACAGGUGCAGGCCACCACUCUUAAUUUUUUUUGUUUGUUUUUAAGAGACAGGUCUCCCUACGUAGCCCAAGCUGUUUUCGAAGUCCUAGGUUCCUCCCACCUUGGACUCCCAAAGUGCUGGGAUUACAGGCUUGACCCACUGCGCCCAGCCUGCAUCUUUACAUUCGAAAUAAAAUUCAGUCAAGUCAAAGCCGGUCUUGGAGGAAAAUGUGGCUUUGAUGACAGCAGUAGGGAUUUUCCUUCAGUGCCUACUUACCAGAGGAUAAUAAUAACAGCAAGUUUCUUAAACAUAAAAACAUCAGAAAUGAAAAAGAACUUUCCAUAACACUAUAAAUAUUGCAGUAUUUCAAGAUACUGAACCAGAGCCCUAAGGAAAGGCUGGAGACCCAGAAUUUUAUAAUGGCUUUGGGACAUGAAUUUUAUUUUAACCAGAGGACAAAAUUAAUCUGCAAAAGCUGUCUUGGAGAAAUUUCAGGAAAUAAAAGAUCAAAUGUAUCUGCUGUCCUCCCUUCCCUCUCCAGGAGAAUAAAAGGCAAAUGCAAACUAUCACAGGGAGAUUUUCACCUUUACCUAAAUUAUUUAUUAUAUACUUUAUAUUUCUGGUUAAUAGAUUGGGAGAGAGCACUCCAGAUAAAGAACUUCCUUUAUAAAUGCCACAUUUAUUUCAGUACUGGAGGUUUGGUCUUGUGUUGCCACAAAGAUUUGGAAUGGCAUCUAUGUUAUAAAUUUAGAUGACAAAAGAGACUAAUAAAAGACUUCUAGAUGAAACACAAGCUUCUAAUAUUCUGGUCCAGGAAAUAAGAUAGAAACUAAAAAACAAUAAAUAACUUUUAUGAAUUAACUGAAGGACUUAAAAUACUUGUUCCAUUCUAAUCCCAAGUGUCUGCCAAGGAACUGAAAUUUAAAAUGAUAAAAGACAUGAUACAGUCAUGUUACAGGGAAUUCAAUGAAGUAAAAAUGGCAGACAUUGAUGAAUGGUAUGGUUUAAAGAUUUGUGUAGAGGUAGUGAUGAGGAGGCCUGCUGGGAGCUGGAAAAGUUCUAUACCUUGACACAGUUAUGCUUACAUGGAUAUACACACACAGUAGUCACUAAGCCAUGAUUUGUACUUAUGAUUUGCACACUUUGGUGGUUGUAAAUUGUACAGCAAUCUAAAAACAAAUGAGGUCAGUGUGCCUCACUACAGAGCUUCAAAAGUGGUAGAUAGCACAUCUCUUUUUUCUUUUAAGCCAUCUAAUACAGAGUUGCUUGGAAUAAAUCCUAAUAGAUACAGUGUUUCUAGAAACAAGUAAAUGAAUAAACCUUAGCUGUUACCCCGUAGGAGCCAACAGAGGUCAAUCUGUUCUCAAGCUUUUACAAAGUUACAAGAACAAGUAAUCAGUGCAUAUUUUGUUGAAACUCCUACUGCAAUACUGAAAACUUCAAAUGGAGAGCAGCUCCUUUUUGGUAAUUCACAACAGACUUAGUUUUCAAAUUACCAAGAAUAUAAGGAAUUAGAUUAGAAGCCUAAUUCAAUUUAGAAUUAUGAGACAUUAUUUGUAACCCACAAGUAUUAUUUUUCCCAUGAUACUGAACAAUUCACCUGGCAUGAACUUAAAAGAAGAAAAUGCUUAUUGCAGCCUUCUUGCUUUAAGAGCGAAAAAAACAAUUUUGCUAGCUGUGGAGGGACUAGAAUACAAUGUCACUUUAAGAUUUACACUCUCAAAAGUUUUGACCUAUCAGAUUGAGAGCCAGAGAGAGAGACAGACAGAAGGAGAAGGAUAAAUCAAAUGUGGUAAAAUGUUAACCUUUGGGGGAUCUGGGUAGAGGGGAUCUGGGAAUUAUUUGUACUAUUGCAACUUUUCUGUAAGUCUGAAAUUGUGUUGUCAAAAGUCAAAAGAAAAAAUUUAUAAAUACUUUAUCAUCCAUUUGCUUUAUAAUUAGGUACAGAGUAUGAUGACAGAGAGAGCCUACUGUAUGCCAGAUACUUAACAGAAGGAAAGUAGUUUAUAUGUAAACUCUGGGAAAAGUGGAGCCAAAUGAUUACACUGUGUGUACCCUUUAGCACUGUUUGGGGUGGGGACAUGGGGGGUCAGGGUGCAGAGAGGGACUGUUCUGGUCUCCUUGGAAGGUAUGUGCCUAUAGUAAAAAGCAUGAGUAAGAUAUCACAUCUCCUAACUCCGUAACAACCAAGCAAACUUAUAAUAGCAUUUUAACUUAUAUCACCUUUUUUAUAGGAGCGGAUAUAUAUUCCAGCAGCAUGAGUAUUUUAGCCCUCUUUGCAAUUGCAGUCUUCAUUCAUUAUCAUCAAUAAACUGGCCUCUGGUUGAUUGAUCUAGUCUAGUUCUUAUUUUAUCACAGCACAUGGGAUAUAUGAUAUCAUCAAAGCCAUGAUGUGAACAAACCAUGAGGUAUAAUGGAGUUUGUAUGAGUAAUUGUGCCUUUUAAUUAUAGUUUUAGUUUGCUUUCUUGACUUCCAUUCAUUCAGAUUGCACAUUAGGGGACAGAGAAGAGGGUGCUUCAAUAUAAACCUUUGGCUAUUUUACAAACACACUUUGCUAAAUGUUCUUAGUCUCUAUCCUGCAAAAGUCACCUUCUUGGAUCAGAAAUAUAUAAAAGCCUUAGUGCUGGUGGAAAACAGGCUUCUUCGUUGGAGGUCAGUCUCAACUAACUUCACACUCUGAUUCCUAAAAAAAAAUGGGAAGGUGGGUGUGUACACAUCCUUUAUGUUACAAAUUUCUUACUGGAAAGGUGACCUAAAUAUUAGACUUUCCCGAAAGAGUAUUGAGUCUCAUAAAAAUCUCUAAUGGAACAGCACUUAAGAAUUUCAACCGUGUGACCACUAAGAAUGGUGUAGAUCCAUUACCUCUCACAUAGGCACUCUCCACGAUAGACUAAGUGAUAAAACCAAGCUGCAGAAGAUUGUAUUACCUGGAGAGAUACCAAAUUGUUCAGUGGUGACCUCUGGGAAACAUGGUGGGGGAGGUUUUGAAGGCAACACUCACCUUAAUUUGGGGAUAUUGUUAAAAAAUUUUUUUUACUUACAUAGUCUUUUUAAAAUAAAGAACUUAGCCACAAAAUCAAAACAGCUGAUUGAUAUGAAGCACCAGUAUCUCCAUUAUUGAAAGGUUGCUUCAAGAAUGCUGAAUAGUUUGUUACAUUUUACAAAAAAAUGAAAGAGCACAGGAUGUUGUCUACCUGUUUUAAUUAUGGAAGGAUAAUUGUCAAUUUUUAAAUAGCAAGAUAGUUAUAAAGAAUGUUUUCCAAAGCAAUACCAAAGAGAUACUUUUCCCUUUUAGAAUAGAAAUUAUGGUACCAUGCAGCUUAUUUCCCCAUAUUGAUCAGGUGAGCAUUUGUCUUAAGGAGUAAGAGAGUUUGUCAGACCUGGUGUCCAUGGCUUGCCAGAGAGGCAGAUUGAACUAUCUCUUGGCAUUUCCAUAAAUAUACAAAAAUUAGCCGGGCAUGGUGGCGCACGCCUGAGCCCCAGCUACUCGGGAGGCUGAGGCAGGAGAAUCGCUUGAACCAGGGAGGCAGAGGUUGUGGUGAGCCGAGAUUGCGCCACUGCACUCCAGCCUGGGCAACAGAGUGAGACUCUGUCUCAAAAAAAAAAAAAAAAAAAAAAAAGAAUUAUUGGGGCCAGGCACGGUGGCUCACGCCUAUAAUCUCAGCACUCUGGGAGGCCACACAGGCAGACCACCUGAAGUCAGGAGUUCGAGACCAGCCUGGCCAACAUGGUGAAACCCUGUCUUUACUAAAAAUACAAAAAUUAGUUGGGUGUGGUAGCACACUCCUGGAGUCCCAGCUACUCGGAAGGCUGAGGCAGGAGGAUUUCUUGAACCCGGGAGGUGGAAACUGCAGUGAGUCGAGAUCAAGGCACUGCACUCCAGCCUGGGAGACAGAAUGAGACUCUGUCUCAAAAAAAGGAAAAAAAUCCUUUACUAAGUCACCGAAGUCUUAGAAAUUUGGGAAACUGAGGACAAAGUUCCUAAGGGUUCUGGAGAAGAAGGUACAGCCAUUUGGGGAACUAUUUGUCAAGGAGCAACUUCAUGUCUGGGACAAUAGGUAAUUCAGAAAACAGUCCCUAAGAGACACAAUAUCUGAAAUAAUAAAGGGGUGUGGUAUAUCACUCAGGAAGUUACGUGGUAAGCAGCCAGGAUGGUUGAAGGUCCUGAGUAGCUGAAACCAAUAGGGAAGACUUUAUGGAGGAGUUCAGAUUUGAGACAAGCCAGAUUUUAAGCAGGGAAGAAAACAUUCCAAGUAAAGAAAACAGAAUGGUUUCAUGAUUUAAAAGCAAUUUUUUCAUUUUAUUUAUUUUUGAGACAGGGUCUCACUGUGUU